UACGUAGGGUGCAAGCGUUAAUCGGAAUUACUGGGCGUAAAGCGUGCGCAGGCGGUGCUGUAAGACAGAUGUGAAAUCCCCGGGCUCAACCUGGGAACUGCAUUUGUGACUGCAUCGCUGGAGUGCGGUAGAGGGGGAUGGAAUUCCGCGUGUAGCAGUGAAAUGCGUAGAUAUGCGGAGGAACACCGAUGGCGAAGGCAAUCCCCUGGGCCUGCACUGACGCUCAGGCACGAAAGCGUGGGGAGCAAACAGG
rnacentral:rRNA from 1 species